rnacentral:rRNA from 1 species
AUGGCUCCAAGUAAGAUAUGGAUGAGACUAGUGGAUGAGCGAUUAGAUGAUGAAUACUUAGAAGGGGUAGAGAAUUUCCUUGACUAUGCAUUCAGCCACGCAGGCAGGGAGAAUGAAAUUCGAUGUCCAUGCGUCAAAUGCUGCAACACAGACUCUCAUCCUCGUGCAUUGGUUUCUGCUCACCUGAAAGUGUACGGAAUUCUGAGAAAUUAUACCUUUUGUUACCAUCAUGGUGAAGUUGCGAGGGGACCUCAAACAGUUUCUGAAGGUCAAGGCGAUGAAGAAAUGCAAGCAGAGAGUGCAGAUGGGUAUGACCCAAUGCAAGAUUUGUUGCAUGAUAUGUUUCCUCAAAAUAAUAAUCCAACUGAGCAAACAACGACACCACCAACUAACGAAGAGGAACCAAAUAAUGAAGCAGCAAAGUUUUAUAAAUUGCUUGACAACUACAACCAGCCACUUUAUGAAGGUUCUAGCACCACUAAAUUAUCUGCACUAGUUAACUUGCUUCACAUUAAGAAUUUGGGAAAGUGGAGCAACAAGUCCUUCACCAUGUUGUUGGAAUAUCUGUGGAAGGCUUUCCUACCACAGAACUCUACUUUGCCAAAUUCUUAUUAUGAAGCGAAAAAAACUAUUCAAGAACUAGGACUGAGUUAUAGGAAAAUUGAUGCUUGCACGAAUCAUUGCAUGCUCUACUGGAAAGAAGAUAUAAAUGCGGAGUCGUGCAAGGUGUGUGGAGCAUCUAGAUGGAAAGAAGACAAGCGCACAGGCACCACUCUGCACUCGGCAAAAGGGAAGAAGAUUCCACAAAAAACUAUGCGGUAUUUUCCCUUAAAGCCAAGGCUGCAAAGGAUGUUCAUGUGCCACAAAACUGCUGAAUCCUUUAGGUGGCAUGCGGAGGGCAGGGUAGAUGAUGGUGUCAUUAGAUGCCCUGCUGACUCGAAAGCUUGGAAAUAUUUUGAUGCAAAAAACAUCCCAUUUGCAAAAGAAAUUCGCAAUCUUAGGUUUUGUCUCUCUUCUGAUGGUUUCCAACCAUAUAAAACAAUGCGAACAUCUCAUAGCAUCUGGCCCGUAUUCCUUGUUCCCCUAAAUUUUCCCCCAUGGAUGUGCAUGAAACAAGAAAAUGUGAUGUUGUCCAUGUUGAUUCCAAGGCCUGAUGGUCCUGGUGAUGCAAUUGAUAUUUAUCUGCAACCACUUGUAGAGGAAUUUACUGAACUAUGGAACGAGGGUGUUGACACCUAUGAUGCAUCAACGAAAACAAGUUUCACACUGCGUGCAGCACUUCUGUGGAUGGUCCAUGACUUCCCUGGUUAUGCCAACCUCUCUGGAUAUAGCACAAAAGGAAAAUUGGCUUGUCCAGUAUGCCACAGUGGGACUUGUUCAUUAAGGCUUAAAAAAGGUGGGAAGUUCUGUUACAUGGGGCAUCGACGCUUUGUUCAUAAAAACCAUAGGUGGAGGAAAGAUAAAAAAUCUUUUGAUGGUACCAUAGAAACCAGAGAACCACCAACACCCUUAACAGGACAAAAUGUGAUGGACCAAGUGGCUGAUCUAGAGGGGAUUAUCUUGUCUAAAGAUGCAAGUAAGAAGACAAAGGUGUCCCACGAUGAAAGAGGAGAUAGCUGGAACAAAAGAAGUAUAUUUUGUAAUUUGCCAUAUUUCAAAACUCUCUUGUUGCGCCAUAACCUUGAUGUCAUGCAUAUAGAAAAGAAUAUAUGUGAUAGCAGCAUGGCAACAAUUAUGGAUGUCAAAGGAAAAACGAAGGAUAACAUAAAUUCUCGGCACGAUUUGCAACGAAUGAAAAUAAGGCCAGGUAUGCAUCCGGACAAGGAAGGGGACAAGCCUACUUUUCCAUCUGUGCCUUUCACUUUGCUUCCACCCAAUAAGAUUUUGUUCCUUCGGUUUUUUAAGGACCUCGAAGUUCUAGAUGGAUUUUUUUCAAACCUUGGCCGCUGCACUAAUAUGAAAGAGAAAAAAAAUUUAGGACUGAAGAGCCACGACUGCCAUGUUAUACUAAAUCAUUUACUUCCUCUUGCACUACGUGGACUUGUUCCCCAGAAUAUUUAUGACCCUUUGGUUGAGCUUUCACAAUUCUUUUGCAAAUUAAACUCCAAAUCACUUUCAGUAGAAGAACUUAAUGAAAUGCAGGCCCAAAUACCUGUGACACUAUGUAAGCUUGAAAAGGAAUUCCCACCGUCCUUUUUUGAUGUCAUGAUGCAUCUGCCUGUUCAUUUGGCUAAUGAGGCUCUUGUUGGUGGACGUACAAUAUAUCGGUGGAUGUAUCUCUUUGAGAGACAAAUAAAGUGUCUGAAAUCGCUAGUGCGAAAUUUGGCACGACCUGAGGCUUCCAUUGCAGAGGGAUACAUUGCAGAAGAGUUCAUUACAUUGUGCUCUAGGUAUUUGGAUGAUGUCGAGACAAAGCAUAACCGACCAGGCAGAAUCAAUGAUGCACCAGGGGAUGACAACUAUUAUUUUUCAAUAUUCAAUCCGGAUGGAAGGCCAUCCGGUGGUCGUAAACCUAGAGAUCUUAAUCUUCUUGAAGCAGAGCAAGCUCAUAUUUAUGUUUUGAGAAAUUGUGAUGAAGUUCAACCAUAUAUCAGUGAGUACUCCAGUAGUCAAGAUGGAUGUUCACUGCAACCAUUUACCACCACGUGGAACCAGAAGUUCAAUCAGUGGUUCAAAGAGAAGGUAGCCAGCUUGCACGAACAUGAUAAGAGUGAGCUCACCGAAGACCUUUUGGCACUAUCACGUGGUCCAUUGGAAAAUGUAACAUGUUUUACUGGCUAUGACAUGAAUGGAUUCAGAUAUCGUGUUCAAAGUCGAGAUAGACACCUCUGCACACAGAACAGUGGGGUGGCUGUACUUUCAGAACAAGGGGAUAAUGGUAAUGCAGUAGAAUAUUAUGGCAUAUUGACAGAGAUAGUCAAACUGCAAUACUUAGGUGGAAGGCGUGUGACAUUAUUCCGUUGCAACUGGAUUGACGUAUUUGACAAAGAGCAUGGGAUGAAGAAAGACAACAAGCAUGGAAUCGUUAGUCUUAACCUGUAG